AGCGAACGCUGGCGGCGUGCCUAACGCAUGCAAGUCGAACGAAGCCUUCGGGCUUAGUGGCGGACGGGUGAGUAACACGUAGGAACCUGCCCAGGAGUGGGGGACAACCCCGCGAAAGCGGGGCUAAUACCGCAUACGGUCUACGAACCAAAGCCUUCGGGCGCUCUUGGAGGGGCCUGCGGCGGAUUAGCUUGUUGGUGGGGUAACGGCCUACCAAGGCGACGAUCCGUAGCUGGUCUGAGAGGAUGGCCAGCCACACUGGGACUGAGACACGGCCCAGACUCCUACGGGAGGCAGCAGCGAGGAAUUUUCCGCAAUGGGCGAAAGCCUGACGGAGCGACGCCGCGUGAGUGAAGAAGUAUUUCGGUAUGUAAAGCUCUAUCAGCAGGGAAGAUAAUGACGGUACCUGGCUAAGAAGCACCGGCUAAAUACGUGCCAGCCGCCGCGGUAAGAC
rnacentral:rRNA from 1 species